GACGAACGCUGGCGGCGUGCCUAAUACAUGCAAGUCGAACGAGAGCGACCGGUGCUUGCACUGGUCAAUCUAGUGGCGAACGGGUGAGUAACACGUGGGUAACCUGCCCAUCAGAGGGGGAUAACAUCCGGAAACGGAUGCUAAAACCGCAUAGGUCUUCGAACCGCAUGGUUUGAAGAGGAAAAGAGGCGCAAGCUUCUGCUGAUGGAUGGACCCGCGGUGCAUUAGCUAGUUGGUGAGGUAACGGCUCACCAAGGCCGUGAUGCAUAGCCGACCUGAGAGGGUGAUCGGCCACAUUGGGACUGAGACACGGCCCAAACUCCUACGGGAGGCAGCAGUAGGGAAUCUUCCGCAAUGGACGCAAGUCUGACGGAGCAACGCCGCGUGAGUGAAGAAGGUUUUCGGAUCGUAAAACUCUGUUGUUAGAGAAGAACAAGUGCUAGAGUGACUGUUAGCGCCUUGACGGUAUCUAACCAGAAAGCCACGGCUAACUACGUG
rnacentral:rRNA from 1 species